rnacentral:rRNA from 1 species
GAUGAACGCUGGCGGCGUGCCUAAUACAUGCAAGUCGAGCGAACAGACGAGGAGCUUGCUCCUCUGACGUUAGCGGCGGACGGGUGAGUAACACGUGGAUAACCUACCUAUAAGACUGGGAUAACUUCGGGAAACCGGAGCUAAUACCGGAUAAUAUAUUGAACCGCAUGGUUCAAUAGUGAAAGACGGUUUUGCUGUCACUUAUAGAUGGAUCCGCGCCGCAUUAGCUAGUUGGUAAGGUAACGGCUUACCAAGGCGACGAUGCGUAGCCGACCUGAGAGGGUGAUCGGCCACACUGGACCUGAGACACGGUCCAGACUCCUACGGGAGGCAGCAGUAGGGAAUCUUCCGCAAUGGGCGAAAGCCUGACGGAGCAACGCCGCGUGAGUGAUGAAGGUCUUCGGAUCGUAAAACUCUGUUAUUAGGGAAGUACAAAUGUGUAAGUAACUAUGCACGUCUUGACGGUACCUAAUCAGAAAGCCACGGCUAACUACGUG